GUCGAACGCUGGCGGCGUGCCUAAUACAUGCAAGUCGAACGCAGUGGGGACGGGUGAGUAACACGUGGGUAACCUCCCAUCAGACGGGAUAACAUUUGGAAACAGGCGCUAAACUGAUACUUAUUGAUGGACACGCAGUGCAUUAGCUAGUUGGUGAGGUAACGGCUCACCAAGGCCACGAUGCAUAGUCGACCUGAGAGGGGGAUCGGCCACACGGCGACUGAGACACGGCCCAGACUCCUACGGGAGGCAGCAGUAGGGAAUCUGCGACAAGGGACGAAAGUCUGACCGAGCAACGCCGCGUGAGUGAAGAAGGUUUUCGGAUCGUAAAACUCUGUUGUUAGAGAAGCGGUAUCUAACCAGAAAGCCACGGCUAACUACGUGCCAGCAGCCGCGGUAAUUC
rnacentral:rRNA from 1 species